AUUGAACGCUGGCGGCAGGCCUAACACAUGCAAGUCGAGCGGAUGAAGGGAGCUUGCUCCUGGAUUCAGCGGCGGACGGGUGAGUAAUGCCUAGGAAUCUGCCUGGUAGUGGGGGAUAACGUCCGGAAACGGGCGCUAAUACCGCAUACGUCCUGAGGGAGAAAGUGGGGGAUCUUCGGACCUCACGCUAUCAGAUGAGCCUAGGUCGGAUUAGCUAGUUGGUGGGGUAAAGGCCUACCAAGGCGACGAUCCGUAACUGGUCUGAGAGGAUGAUCAGUCACACUGGAACUGAGACACGGGCCACACUCCUACGGGAGGGAGCAGUGGGGAAUAUUGGACGAUGGGCGAGAGCCUGAUCCAGCCAUGCCGCGUGUGUGAAGAAGGUCUUCUGAUUGUAAAGCACUUUAAGUUGGGAGGAAGGGCAGUAAGUUAAUACCUUGCUGUUUUGACGUUACCAACAGAAUGAGCACCGGCUAGCUUCGUG
rnacentral:rRNA from 1 species